rnacentral:rRNA from 1 species
UGGGGAAUAUUGGACAAUGGGCGCAAGCCUGAUCCAGCAAUGCCGCGUGAGUGAUGAAGGCCUUAGGGUUGUAAAGCUCUUUUACCCGGGAUGAUAAUGACAGUACCGGGAGAAUAAGCCCCGGCUAACUCCGUGCCAGCAGCCGCGGUAAUACGGAGGGGGCUAGCGUUGUUCGGAAUUACUGGGCGUAAAGCGCACGUAGGCGGCUUUGUAAGUUAGAGGUGAAAGCCUGGAGCUCAACUCCAGAACUGCCUUUAAGACUGCAUCGCUUGAAUCCAGGAGAGGUGAGUGGAAUUCCGAGUGUAGAGGUGAAAUUCGUAGAUAUUCGGAAGAACACCAGUGGCGAAGGCGGCUCACUGGACUGGUAUUGACGCUGAGGUGCGAAAGCGUGGGGAGCAAACAGG